ensembl:lncRNA
CGGGGGACGCCCGCACAAAAUGGCGGCCGCUAGCUGGCGGUCACGUGCGCAUCGCGGUAGGGCGGGUAGCGCUAGGUGGGGGUCGUGCUGCGCCCGGGUAUUUGUGUCGUGAGUUUACCUACGUUUGUUCUCCCGGGUAACAGCGAUAGGAUGAGAGGUAACGGCCUCAAGUUGCACCGGGUUCAGGUUGCGUAUGAGGAGAAAUUUCUUCUCAGGAAGAGUGAUGAUGUCUUGUCCAGGCAAAGUAACCCAUUCCCGAAAGAUUUUGGUCUGAACCAAGUAAUCAACUCAACCUAUGUCAUGGAAUUUGAGGAUGGUUCAGCUGUUAUGGAAGCCCUGGCUGCAAGCACAGAAAAAGCAUCCAAAUAGACAAUUGCUUUCAGAGAUUUUACAUCUUUAAUCACAAGGACAGUCUUCAUUCCAGCUAAGUCUGUGUUCAUCUGUGAGCAGGAGCAGUACGUCAGCACUGACUGCAGUCUCCACGUGGAAGCCAGUUUUCUGAUGUGGUGGGUACAGAGACCAGAGGGUACUGACAUCUCCUGCAGAGGACAGGGAACCAGUAAAGCUUGACCAAAAGAAAAAAUAAAUAAAUGUUUUCUUACAUGGCAAGAACAAGAUCAGAGAACAGCGUGGCAUGGGAGGACUUCCUGAACUUGUGUGGGAUUCCUCUUAGGGAUGGCAGACGCUCAGAUGGGUCUUCUCAUGCUUUGUCCUCCUUCAUAAACCCACAGCAGGAAUCCUUGUGGUGGUUCCAGCUGCUACACACCUUUGUCUCCUCCUACUUCUUUCCAGGAAACUAUCAUUAGAGAGUACUGUGGCCUCGAAGUGUGUGCCCUUAUCUCUGCUGCCUAACUCCUGGCUGUAUUGCUCUGUGUUCUGACAGGAAUGUCACUGGUCUGCUUCCUCGGCACCCUGCUGAUAACGCUUGUAAGCUCAGAGAACGCUUUAUUGCCUUUCCCGAAGAGCCGCUUGUUGAAAGUGAAAUUUGUUACCGGUGAUGAAUUAUUGUCAGA